rnacentral:rRNA from 1 species
GGGAUAAGCCUGGGAAACUGGGUCUAAUACCGGAUAUGACUGACUAUCGCAUGGUGGUUGGUGGAAAGCUUUUUGUGGUUUUGGAUGGACUCGCGGCCUAUCAGCUUGUUGGUGAGGUAAUGGCUUACCAAGGCGACGACGGGUAGCCGGCCUGAGAGGGUGACCGGCCACACUGGGACUGAGACACGGCCCAGACUCCUACGGGAGGCAGCAGUGGGGAAUAUUGCACAAUGGGCGCAGGCCUGAUGCAGCGACGCCGCGUGAGGGAUGACGGCCUUCGGGUUGUAAACCUCUUUCAGUAGGGAAGAAGCGAAAGUGACGGUACCUGCCGAAGAAGCGCU